AAUCACAGUAAUUUAACCAGGGCUCCUUGAUCUGUGCAGGCCUCUUGCUAUGGGGGUGAUGGCCAGUCCUGAGUGAUU